UACGGAGGGUGCAAGCGUUAAUCGGAAUUACUGGGCGUAAAGCGCGUGUAGGCUGUACGGCAAGUUGGAGGUGAAAUCCCACGGCUCAACCGUGGAACUGCCUUCAAAACUACCGAACUGGAGUGCGAGAGAGGAUAGCGGAAUUCCAGGUGUAGGAGUGAAAUCCGUAGAUAUCUGGAAGAACAUCAGUGGCGAAGGCGGCUAUCUGGCUCGUAACUGACGCUGAGAUGCGAAAGCGUGGGUAGCAAACAGG
rnacentral:rRNA from 1 species